CCAGCUCCCAAAUGUGCUCACUUUCCCAGCUUCUUCAUCCGUUCAUCAAUGCUGGCAAAGUUCCCCUCAACUGUGGCCAGGUUUUCACGCAUGGUUGUCUGCACCUACAAAGUGGUAGAGAGGUUUUACUCUUUGUCAGGUCCAGUUGCUUAACUGGAUGAGGACCUGAAGGAAUUCUCUGAGAGAGAAGACAAGAAAUGGAAGCACAAUUUGUGGGCCACAGAGGGGGGAUGUUUAUAGCACCAAUUUUCAAGCUACCCUUAGAGUACAUAGACCACGCUUGGGGUGAGCCCAAGCAGGUAGGACUCGAGAAUUCCCAUCCUGACUUCAGCCAGAACAGUUUUUUAAAAUCUGUUUUAUGUAAUGAGAGCUAAAUAAGAUUUUGUUGAAAUGAGGGUUUCACUGGUUCAAAAUGUUAGAAAACUGCUCUGGAGGAAAAGGAUAUUAUUCUAAGUCCUUUAUAUAUUUUUUCAUUUAUCUCAGUGAUCCUGUGAUUGAUGCUGGUCUCUCGACUUUAAUGCUCCUUCCAGCACUGAGAACAGUGCCUCCAACAGAAAUUGGGACUUGCGGCCAGGUGCAGUGGCUCACGCCUGUAAUCUCAGCACUUUGGGAGGCCGAGAUGGGUGGGAUCACUUGAGGUCAGGAGUUUGAGACCACCCUGGACAACAUGGUGAAACCCCGUCUCUACUAAAAAAAAAAAUUAGGUGUGGUGGUGCGUGCCUGUAAUCCCAGCUACUCAAUAGGCUGAGGCAUGAGAAUUGCUUGAGCCCGGGAGGUGGAGGCUGCAGUGAGCUGAGAUCACACCACUGCACUCCAGCCUGGGCAACAGAGCGAGACUCUGUCUUAAAAAUAAAAAACAAUAAGAAAUUGUGGACUUGCUGUGUGCCAGGCAUUACUAAAAGAAUGAAGGAGCUAGGUGAGGCUCAUUGUCCAGGGCCAGAAAGGAAGCGACAGAACGAGAUUAGGGCCUGCUUCUGACUUCAAAGCCCGGAUUCCUUCCAGUGUACUGUGCUUAUCAGGGAGAGUAAAGUUGAGACGACAAAGGGAAAGAGUGGGGUUUUAUAAGAAAACAUGUUCACUAGCCCCUAACAAUUUGCCCAUAUUAUUUCACCUCAUCUACAUAACUCUGAGGGAGGUAUAAUUUCCCAGAUGGAAAGAUGGAGGUUCAUAGGUUAAAUAAGUUGUCAAAGGGCCUUCACAUUGAAAGCAGGAUGGAGACUCCAGACCAACCCCCUGCCACAACACCAUGCUACAAAAUAGGCUAAGGCAGAACCCUAUAACACUGGAGAACCUAGUUUGCACAUGCUGGAGAAAGGAGGACAGAUCAACAAAGGGGCACACACCUGGGUCAAGAGGGUGGUAUUGUCCUUCAAGGAA
rnacentral:lncRNA from 1 species